CCUACGGGUGGCAGCAGUGAGGAAUAUUGGUCAAUGGACGGAAGUCUGAACCAGCCAUGCCGCGUGCAGGAAGACGGCUCUAUGAGUUGUAAACUGCUUAUGUACAAGGGUAAAUCUGAAUACGUGUAUUCAGCUGAACGUACUGUACGAAUAAGGAUCGGCUAACUCCGUGCCAGCAGCCGCGGUAAUACGGAGGGUCCAAGCGUUAUCCGGAUUUAUUGGGUUUAAAGGGUGCGUAGGCGGAUUGGUAAGUUAGAGGUGAAAUGUCCGGGCUUAACCCGGGAACUGCCUCUAAUACUGUUGGUCUAGAGAGUAGAUGCGGUAGGCGGAAUGUAUGGUGUAGCGGUGAAAUGCUUAGAGAUCAUACAGAACACCGAUUGCGAAGGCAGCUUACCAAUCUAUAUCUGACGUUGAGGCACGAAAGCGUGGGGAGCAAACAGGAUUAGAUACCCUUGUAGUC
rnacentral:rRNA from 1 species